rnacentral:rRNA from 1 species
CGCGCAGGUGGUUGAUUAAGUCUGAUGUGAAAGCCCACGGCUUAACCGUGGAGGGUCAUUGGAAACUGGUCGACUUGAGUGCAGAAGAGGGAAGUGGAAUUCCAUGUGUAGCGGUGAAAUGCGUAGAGAUAUGGAGGAACACCAGUGGCGAAGGCGGCUUCCUGGUCUGUAACUGGCACUGAGGCGCGAAAGCGUGGGGAGCAAACA